CAGUCGCCGCGGGAAUACGGAGGGUGCAAGCGUUAUCCGGAUUUAUUGGGUUUAAAGGGUCCGUAGGCGGAUCUGUAAGUCAGUGGUGAAAUCUCACAGCUUAACUGUGAAACUGCCAUUGAUACUGCAGGUCUUGAGUAAAUUUGAAGUGGCUGGAAUAAGUAGUGUAGCGGUGAAAUGCAUAGAUAUUACUUAGAACACCAAUUGCGAAGGCAGGUCACUAAGAUUUAACUGACGCUGAUGGACGAAAGCGUGGGGAGCGAACAGGAUUAGAUACCCCAGUAGUCCCUGUCUCUUAUAC
rnacentral:rRNA from 1 species